AGUGUCUGCCAGCACUGUGUUACUGUUAAAGCCACCAGCACGAGCAUCAGACGAUGCUGAUCCAGUGAGUACUCCAUCAAAGGCAUACUGUACUCUCUCUGGAUUCCAGAAGGCAUAAGGACCCAGUGUCAUUGGUGCACUGGACUGCACACACAUAAGGAUAAAAGCCCGCUCAGGUGCCCAUGAGGCAGAUUUUGUAAAUAUGAAAUCUUUUCACAGCAUUAAUGUUCAGGUGAACAUAACUUUUUGAUAUUUUCCAUUGAACACUGGCAAAAUGGGCUGGCUCAGUCCAUGACUCCAGAAUCUUUCGGACCUCUGAAAUCUAUCAGCGCCUAUCACAAGGUGAAUUCUCUGGUGUGUUGCUGGGAGACAUGGGGUAUGGCUGCCAGCCUUUUUUCCUGACACCUUUAACAGACCCCCAGGAAGCACAGCAGGCCUACAACUAUGCCCAUGCCAGGACCAGGGCUAGAGUUGAAAUGACCUUUGGCCUCCUGCAGGCACACUCUCACUGCCUUCACAAAUUAAGGCUCAGCCCUGUGAUGGCAUGUGACAUUACUGUGGCUUGUGCUGUCCUCCACAAUGUGGCCUGCCUGAGGAAGGAGAGGGCCCCCAGAGUACCGGCAGCCAUGGACUGGGACAAUCCGGAAAUCUUCCCUGAUGACAACAGUGGUCGGCUGCUGAGGAACCAAUAUGUGUUGAAUUAUUUUAGUUAGUAUGUGUGCUUUCAAUUUUUUUUAUUGAUUUGGCCUCUCUUAAUGUUUGUGCUGUAUACUGUGUGUAUACUGUUUGUAAUACAAGCUUGCAGGGAGGCUACUGCAUCCAUUAAUUGUCUUGUUUUCAGUUGUCUGAAAUUGUCUGUUCAGUUAAUGUGUAUGGAUUUGUCCUGCAUUUAUUUCAGUGUGCAGACAUGCAGGUGUCACAGGGUGACUAUUAUAGGGCGGAACCAAAAGCGGCGAAGAUUGGUUCCGCCCGAAGAUGGUUUCCGCCCCGGCCCAACAUUGUAAACACCAGUACUUCCUGGUUGCUGUGGCAACACAAUCGGGGCUGAUAAGCAACAGGUGAGAAGAAUUAAGGUUGGCAAUGUGUGAUUGGAAGAGGUAAUGAAGAUGGGAAGUAUAAAUAGACCUGCAGCAACACAAGAAGAGGAGAGUAGAUUUCCGGGGUGAGCUCCGCUCCGCCAAGGGCGGACCAAAACUUACACUUCCUGUGAAGCACCCAGAGCACCGUUGAUCCGGGGAUCACUUUGGAAGCGAGCGGAAAGAGUGCGGGGCGAAGAGAGGCGAAAGGAAGGAGUGUGGUCGUAUAGUACAGCGGAGCACCACGGAAAAGAAGGCGUUGUUUUUGUCGCUGUAGCGUUGGUUGCUGUAGUGCGGUGUUGUUGUUGCCACGGAGGCCUGGCGGAACUGGUAAACAGAGGAAUCGGAGUUGGAUUAACUGGGUGAAGAAAGCAUUGCUAAAGCGAGUCACUGGGUCGAGUAAGUGGAAAACAGUUGCUGUUAUGAUGUGGAUGUACCGACACGAUAUGCCUUGGUGGAUUUAGAGAAUUUGGGAGUAACGAAUCCAUAGUGUAUUACCUGAUCUUGUGCUGUGAGUUUACCACGUAGCGUUGCGGCCCCACUGGAAAGGGAAGCGUGGGCGAGCCGGGGAACAACACUGGAAGUAUAAGACGCAUGUGAGUGGCAUUAAAGUCUGUGUUACGUAUUGUGAAUUUAAAGUAUAUUACCUGACCUUGUGCUGUGAGUUUACCGCGUAGUGUAGCGGCCCCACUGAGGAGAGAAGCGUGGGCGAGCCGGGAAACAACACUGGAAGUAUAAGACGCAUGUGAGUGGCAUUAAAGUCUGUGUUACGUAUUGUGAAUUUAAAGUGUAUUACCUGAUCUUGUGCUGUGAGUUUACCACGUAGCGUAGCGGCCCCACUGAAGAGAGAAGCGUGGGUGAGCCGAGGAGCACCAGCAAUAACCACCGGGGGGUCCUGUGUCCAUCUUUUAAGCACUUCUUCCCCUCCACCAAGAACAUCACCCAACCAACUGCACGGCGGGCCCGGGUCGAGUUCUGGCUUGGUCCAUAGUUCACUAAGUGUGUGUGUAGUGCCGUGGGUGAGUCUGUGUCUUCAUUGUGUGUGUACACCUAAGCUUGCAUUGUCGUGCUGUGCUCAUGUUGACAGAAGCCACUUCGAGGCCAGAGGAGUCGUGAGGAGAUCCCAGCCGUUGAGGUCGGUGGAGUGUGAGUUGGAGGAAUUUGCAACUUAGGACUUCCUGGAGGGUGAAGUGACGGACCUUUUCUCGACGAGUGAAUGGGCAGUGGUGAAGUAUCUGUUUACUGAAGUGAGUAAACCAUUUUAUGUUCAGUGCUUUUGACGGAGGGUUGUUGGGCUGACGUCUGCACGAAAUAACUGUCCUUGUGUGGAGCCUCUUCAAAGGUUCGCUCCUGUUCCGUGUCUCCGGUACUGUGAGUGGAAGAAGAACAAGGGAAGCGUUCGGCUCUACACAUCCAUACCCGACGUCCCCCUCCUGCCCUCUUGGAGGCCCACGAACCUGAAGAAGGUAGGACGUCCCAGCCUUGUGUAUUCUUUACCUCUGCUUACCGCACGAACCUGGAGGAGGAAGGAAAAGGCACAGUAGUAAAAUUGGUAGACAGUAUACUAACCACCUUUCUUCUGUGAUCUGCCUCCAGGAGAAGAGGAGCGCGCCACGGGUUCAAGAAGACCAACCUCAAGGAGUCUGUCCCCCUGUCCCCGUGGAAGCUCCGCCUGGAGGCGGGAAGGAUUCAUUGUUUUAAUUGCCCCCUUUCCCUUCCCCAUAUUAUUUUAAAUAUUUAAUAAAGUUCAUUUUAAUUAUACUCAUUCCAUGUGUGUCUUGUCAUUGGGGUUGGCUUUGGGACCUCCUCGAGGUGGAAACUAGGAAGGGGCGUGGCUUGUUACAGUCUGUGGUCCGCCCCGACCUGUGACACAGGGUGUGUUAUAUACAGACCUUUGAAUGUGUAUUUAUCCUUUGGUUGUA